UACGUAGGGUGCAAGCGUUGUCCGGAAUUAUUGGGCGUAGAGGGCUCGUAGGCGGUUUGUCGCGUCGGGAGUGAAAAUCCAGGGCUUAACUCUGGACUGGCUUCCGAUACGGGCAGACUAGAGGUAUGCAGGGGAGAACGGAAUUCCUGGUGUAGCGGUGAAAUGCGCAGAUAUCAGGAGGAACACCGGUGGCGAAGGCGGUUCUCUGGGCAUUACCUGACGCUGAGGAGCGAAAGUGUGGGGAGCGAACAGG
rnacentral:rRNA from 1 species